UACGGGGGGGGGCAAGCGUUGUUCGGAAUUACUGGGCGAAAGGGCUCGUAGGCGGCCAACUAAGUCAUACGUGAAAUCCCCCGGCUUAACCGGGGAACUGCGUCUGAUACUGGAUGGCUUGAGUUCGGGAGAGGGAUGCGGAAUUCCAGGUGUAGCGGUGAAAUGCGUAGAUAUCUGGAGGAACACCGGUGGCGAAGGCGGCAUCCUGGACCGAUACUGACGCUGAGGAGCGAAAGCCAGGGGAGCAAACGGG
rnacentral:rRNA from 1 species